GUCUACUGCAGAUGUAGCAUUUUGUUUCCCAUGUCAAACGUUCUGUGUUGGGUUCAAUGCUAAUGCAGACAAUGCUUUCGCCCAAGCUAGGUAUUCUAACUGGAAGCAUGCUAAUGAUAGUAUCAAAGAAUUUGUUAGGCACGCAUCAAGCAAAGAUCAUUUGAAAUGCACUGCACUGUGUAAAGAACAACUUGUUUGAAGUGCUAUGGGAACAUCGUUGGGCAGCUGGCAUGAAAUCGCAUGUGUUUGUCACCAGAUUGUGAACACUGAGUUCCUUGCUUCAAACCAGCAACCACUGAGGGUGACAUUGGACAACAGAUUCAAGAGGGGAGGGGGGCAGUGGACUUUUUCUGUCUAUGAUGGUGUUUAGCACCAUACCCCACAAUGUCACAUACACGUCAAUGAAAUCAUAGUGCUCAUGAAUGGGGCGUCCACAGCUACAUGCAAGAACAAAUGUUUCAUCUUGACAAAGGUACUCAGUCAGCAAAGAAGAAGCACACUACACCAAAGGAAAGGUCAACUAAUCCAACUGGCAUUUGAGGAAAAUCUUACAGUUCCAUAGAGCAUGAAGGAGGCUACAAACUCUUCUGAAAAGGCCCUCCAUUCCCAAACUUGAAGCCCCCUGUCGCCAACUGGAAAGAACAGGAAAAAGUAGUGGCUUAAGAUCUGCCAACCUGCUCGGUGGGUGACAGGUAACCGUCUUUCCACCAAGCUGUUCCAGGCCUGGAGUGGAACUUCCAUAGGCUUGUAGACCUGAAGUGGUGUGAUGUUUGUCCAGAUCUGACACGCCUAUUAGCUCAACCACAGUCUUCACAGCUGCAGUCGUCUGCAUCUAAUACACCGGCCACGACAGGUGACACAGAUCUGCUGUAGUAUUUACUGCUGUCCACUGCUGUAGUAUUUAAUUUACCGGCUGCACCAGUUUCUACUCCACUGGCCGUGAAGGGAGAAACUUUUGAGGAUUCCCAGAUGGAUACAGAUCUGCCAUGCACUCCACCACUGCCUGACAACCUCACCCAGAAGUGCAUACACUGGGCCUUUCAAGACUGACAAAGCAGAGAUGGGUGGCUGACAAGGAAAAAUAAAACAACACGCGCACACACACACUCACACACACACUUUAUCCACAAUGUAAAUAAGUUGUAAUUGCUUGCUUAUUUAAUGAUUGCUCCAUUUUAUUUUAGGAUUGGAGAUAUCUACUCCUAUAUAUCCAUUAUCAAUGUCUGCAUAAUUACUCUAAAUAUCUAUCAAAUCAAAGUGGGAUUGAUAAUAUUAUAAAAGACUGUGUACAGUUUUAGGAAAUUCUGUGUACAUUUUUCUGAGUUGAAAAACACGCCUCCCUCUCACACACACACACUACACCCAAUGUAAAUAAAUUGCAAUAACUUGUUUAAUGUAUGUAUGCUCCACUUUAUUUUAGGAAAAUAUCUGUAAUAAAGUACAUUCACA
ensembl:lncRNA